GUUGAGCCUGGCAAAAAUAAAAAUUAGGUUCUCAUUGUCAUGAGCAUAGUUGCUAUUUCACCCAACUUUCACUGGAGGGAGGAGGACAGGGUUAUACUGAAAUGGUCUUGUGAAACUAAGCAAAAUGAAACAAUAUAGAAGGGCCAAGGAUUCACCACUUAAACAGUAGCCAGUGAUAAUGCAACAGUCAGUCUAGACAGGACAAAUAACAAACACAUGAGGUGAGGGUUGCUGAGCCCAGAAAUAAAAGCUCAGGCCUGGAUUUUUAGUUGUUAUGUCUAGAACUAGGCGUUUCCAUAGAGAAUCCAAGUAGAAUUACUGGAUAUUACACUCUAACCAAAAGACUCUGGUUGUACUAAGAACUUGACUCUUAAAGAUAAAUUCAGGGUACAGUUCUCACAGGAUGACAGGGAAAAAUACCCAGGAAGUUCAGCAGGUCAAGGGGCAGCAGGAUGCAUGUCACCUGGUGGAUCCCACUGGGCAGGUUUAUAAAUGUACAAGAUUAAGAAGGAGGAAACAUAAACCUAAGGACAGCACUGCUACCAGUUGUCAAUUUCUAGAUUUUUUCACUGUCCCCAGAAAGCCUCCUACAGCUUAAGAAACUCUUAACAGGAAACAUACCAUUUUAUCAAGUGAUCUCAUGAAUGGUUUAAUAAUUCCUUUUCUAAAAGACAUUUGAGAACAAUCACUGAUCUAUGCUGUAAGUUUUCAGACUAGUACAUAACCACUUUACAUGUGGUGUGAGAACUUUAGAAACCAGAAAGCCUUAAAUUAUGCUGAUAUAACAUCUGUAUGAAAUUUGUAUGUCUUAAGAAGGGGGGAAAUCUCAGAUUUUUUCAUUGACAUUUAUGUAUAUUUAACCCCUAAGAAAAGUAUGGCUUAUAAUUCUCUGAAAACUUAAAUCCACAGCAAACAUCCUAAUUUUAUUUUUAUAAAAAUGAGAAGUCUGUUCCUUUUUAAGACUACAUUAUGGUUAUUAUGUUUAAAAAGCUUACAAACAGGUACAAAAUGGGAAGCAUUUACUAAAUAUCCUAGAUAUUUUCAUCUGUCUGUAUAGAUGUAGUGAACCUAAAGAAAGAUAGUGGCUUUUUAAACUAUUCUUCCCAUUUCUGACUUUAAUGUUCUA